CCUACGGGAGGCAGCAGUGGGGAAUAUUGGUCAAUGGGCGCAAGCCUGACCCAGCAACGCCGCGUGAAGGAAGAAGGCUUUCGGGUUGUAAACUUCUUUUCUCAGGGACGAAGCAAGUGACGGUACCUGAGGAAUAAGCCACGGCUAACUACGUGCCAGCAGCCGCUGUAAUACGUAGGUGGCAAGCGUUAUCCGGAUUUGCUGGGUGUAAAGGGCGUGUAGGCGGGACGGCAAGUCAGAUGUGAAAACCACGGGCUCAACCUGUGGCCUGCAUUUGAUACUGUAGUUCUUGAGUACUGGGGAGGCAGACGGAAUUCCUAGUGUAGCGGUGAAAUGCGUAGAUAUUAGGAGGAACACCAGUGGCGAAGGCGGUCUGCUGGACAGCAACUGACGCUGAGGCGCGAAAGCGUGGGGAGCAAACAGGAUUAGAUACCCGUGUAGUC
rnacentral:rRNA from 1 species